AUUGAACGCUGGCGGCAGGCUUAACACAUGCAAGUCGAGCGGAUGAAGCGAGCUUGCGCCUGGAGUCAGCGGCGGACGGGUGAGUGAUGCCUAGGAAUCUGCCGGGUAGUGCGGGAUAACGUCCGGAGACGGGCGCGAAUACUGCAUACGUCGAGAUGGAGAAAGUGGGGGAGCUUCGGACCUCACGCUAUGAGAUGAGCCUAGGGCGGAUUAGCUAGUUGGUGGGGUAAAGGCCUACCAAGGCGACGAUCCGUAACCGGUCUGAGAGAAUGAUAAGUCACCCUGGAACUGAAACAGGGUCCGGACUCCUACGGGAGGCAGCAGUGGCCAAUAUUAGACAAUGGGCGAAAGCAUGAUACAGCAAUCCCGCGUGUGUGAAGAAGGUCCCCGGAUUGUAAAGCACUUUAAGUUGGGAGGAACGGCAGUAAGUUAAUACCUUGCUGUUUUGACGUUACCUACAGAAUAAGCACCGGCUAACUUCGUG
rnacentral:rRNA from 1 species